GAGUUUGAUCUGGCUCAGGAUGAACGCUAGCGGCAGGCUUAACACAUGCAAGUCAGGGGCAGCGGGAUGUAGCAAUACGAUUGCCGGCGACCGGCGGAUGGGUGCGUAACGCGUAUGCAACCUACCUUAUACAGGGGAAUAACCUUUCGAAAGGGAGACUAACACCCCAUGGUAUUGAUUUAAGGCAUCUUAGAUUAAUUAAAUAUUUAUAGGUAUAAGAUGGGCAUGCGUAUGAUUAGCUAGUUGGUAAGGUAACGGCUUACCAAGGCGACGAUCAUUAGGGGUCCUGAGAGGAAGGUCCCCCACACUGGUACUGAGACACGGACCAGACUCCUACGGGAGGCAGCAGUGAGGAAUAUUGGUCAAUGGGCGCAAGCCUGAACCAGCCAUGCCGCGUGCAAGGAAGACGGCCUUAUGGGUUGUAAACUGCUUUUACAUAAGACUAACCGUAUAUUUGCGAAUAUACCUGAAUGUAUUAUGAGAAUAAGGAUCGGCUAACUCCGUGCCAGCCGCCGC
rnacentral:rRNA from 1 species